AUUGAACGCUGGCGGCAGGCCUAACACAUGCAAGUCGAGCGGAUGAAGGGAGCUUGCUCCUGGAUUCAGCGGCGGACGGGUGAGUAAUGCCUAGGAAUCUGCCUGGUAGUGGGGGAUAACGUCCGGAAACGGGCGCUAAUACCGCAUACGUCCUGAGGGAGAAAGUGGGGGAUCUUCGGACCUCACGCUAUCAGAUGAGCCUAGGUCGGAUUAGCUAGUUGGUGGGGUAAAGGCCUACGAAGGCGACGAUCCGUAACUGGUCUGAGAGGAUGAUCAGUCACACUGCAACUGGGACACGGUCCAGACUCCUAGGGAAGGCAGAGGUGGGGAAUAUUGGACAAUGGGCGAAAGCCUGUUCCACCAAUGCGGGGUGUGUGAAGAAGGUCUUCGGAUUGUAAAGCACUUUAAGUUGGGAGGAAGGGCAGUAGUUAAUACCUUGCUGUUUUGACGUUACCAACAGAAUAAGCACCGGCUAACUUCGUG
rnacentral:rRNA from 1 species